AUUGCGCAUGCUCCAUUCUUCAUGAUUUUUAAAUGUAAAAAUUGAGGAAGAAGUAACACAUUUUUCUUUUUCUUUUCAUUCGCAUAUUGAUGACACUGUUUUUGUUUAAGAAAAAGAAAUUCAUCUGUUAAUCAUCGCCCAUACAAUAAAAUACAUUUCAUUAGAGUUUAUGAGCCGCAUUCAAGUCACGUCUUAUUUAUGGGAUUGUCUUAAGUAUAGUCUUAAGACGUUACUUAGAUUCAUAGUCGGUUCUUCUGAUAUUUCUUGAUCAAAAUCUCAAGCUCUGCCAUCAUCAAGAAGAUAUUUGUACAAGAUUUAUAAACGCGUCUUGGUUGAAAUAAGCAUCGCCUCAGAUCGGCUUCAGACGGUUUGCGGCAGUACUGUUGCCGCGUUUUCGCAUUUCAAAUGUUUUGCAACAGCUUCAUGUAAUAUGUAAUUCAUUUCAAGCUCAGUUAUGGAUGCGAGAAGACGUCAACAAAUCGUCUUUAUAUGUGUUAUUCAAUAGUAUAUAGUAAAAUUAUAAACAGAGAAUAUUGGGUUCAUCUCUUUACCAGUGUAAAAUUUCUGAAAGGAGCGUCUGUGUCCACAUUCACUGAUUUGAGAGAAAACAAGAUAAAAUUUUUGAAUUAUUUUCGCAUAAGUGUAAAAUCAUUCGAUGAAUUAUAUGCAAAAAGUUCUGAAAAGUUGAAGAGUAAAGACACUGUAAUGAGAGUGCCUGUUUCUCCAAUAGAAAUGAUUUCUGCAACACUGAGAAUACCACUACCAGAAACAAAUACACCAACAAUUACCUACAUGUUAGUUGGAGAUGAAGCCGUUUCUGUUUCGGACUCUAUGUUUUAUCAAAUGAAAAACGAAUAUUUAAUUAUAGGUUGAGUCAUGCCAGAAGAUAUGUAUAAUCAACAUUUGGGAUUUUAUCUAAUAAGUGGCAUAUAUUUCAUAGAGCAUUCAAUGUUGAAUUAAAUUUUGCAGUAGAUCUUGUUAAAUGUUGUAUCUUGCACAAUUUUGUUAGAGACCUUGAUGAUGAUUCUAUCAUUAGUAAUAAUUAUAUGAUCCGCAUUGUUUUUUAUUUUAUUGUAAUCACAGGUUUCCAUGAAUUUAAUAAUAAUUCAACAAUUGUGCAAAAAGGACAGCAAUUAAAUUUAAUAAGAAACUGUUCCACGAAAUUUUUUACCAAUGACGUUGAGAAGGUGCCAUGGCAAAAUGAUUUCAUUUAAUUGUAUAAUGCCAUUGUAUAAUAGAAAUAAAAAAUAAAGUUUAUAUUUACUAAA